GACGAACGCUGGCGGCGUGCUUAACACAUGCAAGUCGAACGGAAAGGCCCCUUUGGGGGUUCUCGAGUGGCGCACGGGUGAGUAACACGUGAGUAACCUGCCCUUGACUUCGGGAUAACUUCAGGAAACUGGGGCUAAUACCGGAUAGGAAUCCUUGCUGCAUGGUGGGGGUUGGAAAGCUUCGGCGGUUUUGGAUGGACUCGCGGCUUAUCAGCUUGUUGGUGGGGUAGUGGCUUACCAAGGCUUUGACGGGUAGCCGGCCUGAGAGGGCGACCGGCCACAUUGGGACUGAGAUACGGCCCAGACUCCGACGGGAGGAAGCAGUGGGGAAUAUUGCACAAGGGGCGGAAGCCUGAUGCAGCAACGCCGCGUGCGGGAUGACGGCCUUCGGGUUGUAAACCGCUUUCAGCAGGGGCGAAGCUUGUGGUGACGGUACCUGCAGAAGAAGCACCGGCUAACUACGUG
rnacentral:rRNA from 1 species